AUUGAACGCUGGCGGCAGGCCUAACACAUGCAAGUCGAACGGUAACAGGAAACAGCUUGCUGUUUCGCUGACGAGUGGCGGACGGGUGAGUAAUGUCUGGGAAACUGCCUGAUGGAGGGGGAUAACUACUGGAAACGGUCGCUAAUACCGCAUAACGUCGCAAGACCAAAGAGGGGGACCUUCGGGGCUCUUGCCAUCGGAUGUUCCCAGAUGGGAUUAGCUAGUAGGUGGGGUAACGGCUCACCUAGGCGACGAGCCCUAGCUGGUCUGAGAGGAUGACCAGCCACACUGGAACUGAGACACGGUCCAGACUCCUACGGGAGGCAGCAGUGGGGAAUAUUGCACAAUGGGCGCAAGCCUGAUGCAGCCAUGCCGCGUGUAUGAAGAAGGCCUUCGGGUUGUAAAGUACUUUCAGCGGGGAGGAAGGGAGUAAAGUUAAUACCUUUACUCAUUGACGUUACCCGCAGAAGAAGCACCGGCUAACUCCGUG
rnacentral:rRNA from 1 species